rnacentral:rRNA from 1 species
AUUGAACGCUGGCGGCAGGCCUAACACAUGCAAGUCGAGCGGGGUUUUCGGACCUAGCGGCGGACGGGUGAGUAAUGCGUAGGAAGCUACCCGAUAGAGGGGAUACCAGUUGGAAACGACUGUUAAUACCGCAUAAUGUCUACGGACCAAAGUGUGGGACCUUCGGGCCACAUGCUAUCGGAUGCGCCUACGUGGGAUUAGCUAGUUGGUGAGGUAAUGGCUCACCAAGGCGACGAUCUCUAGCUGGUUUGAGAGGAUGAUCAGCCACACUGGAACUGAGACACGGUCCAGACUCCUACGGGAGGCAGCAGUGGGGAAUAUGGACAAUGGGCGAAAGCCUGAUCCAGCAAUGCCGGCGUGGAGUGAUGAAGGCCUU